rnacentral:snRNA from 10 species
UAAAUAAUUGGAAUGAUACAGAGAAGAUCAGCAUGGCUCCUGUGCAAGGAUGACACACAAAUUCGGGAAGUGUUUCAUAUUUUA